UACGUAGGGAGCAAGCGUUGUCCGGAAUCAUUGGGCGUAAAGCGCGCGUAGGCGGCCCUGUAAGUCCGUUGUGAAAGUCAAAGGCUCAACCUUUGAAAGCCGAUGGAUACUGCAGGGCUAGAGUCCGGAAGAGGCGAGUGGAAUUCCUGGUGUAGCGGUGAAAUGCGCAGAUAUCAGGAAGAACACCCGUGGCGAAGGCAGCUCUCUGGGACGGUACUGACGCUGAGACGCGAAAGCGUGGGGAGCGAACAGG
rnacentral:rRNA from 1 species